CCUACGGGAGGCUGCAGUAGGGAAUAUUGCUCAAUGGGGGAAACCCUGAUGCAGCAACGCCGCGUGGAGGAUGAAGGUUUUCGGAUUGUAAACUCCUUUUGUUAGAGAAGAUAAUGACGGUAUCUAUAGCAUAAGCACCGGCUAACUCCGUCCCAGCAGCCGCGGUCAUACGGAGGGUGCAAGCGUUACUCGGAAUCACUGGGCGUAAAGAGCGCGUAGGCGGGAUAGCAAGUCAGAUGUGAAAUCCUAUGGCUUAACCAUAGAACUGCAUUUGAAACUGUUAUUCUAGAGUAUGGGAGAGGUAUGUGGAAUUCUGGGUGUAGGGGUAAAAUCCGUAGAGAUCAAGAGGAAUACUCAUUGCGAAGGCGACCUGCUAGAACAUAACUGACGCUGAUGCGCGAAAGCGUGGGGAGCAAACAGGAUUAGAUACCCCGGUAGUC
rnacentral:rRNA from 1 species